AACGAACGCUGGCGGCAGGCCUAACACAUGCAAGUCGAGCGCGCCUUUCGGGGUUAGCGGCGGACGGGUGAGUAACACGUGGGAACGUGCCCUUUUCUUCGGAAUAGCCUCGGGAAACUUAUAGUAAUACCGUAUAUGCCCUUUGGGGGAAAGAUUUAUCGCCUAAGGAUCGGCCCGCGUUGGAUUAGGUAGUUGGUUGGGUAAUGGCCUACCAAGGCGACGAUCCAUAGCUGGUUUGAGAGGAUGAUCAGCCACACUGGGACUGAGACACGGCCCAAACUCCUACGGGAGGCAGCAGUGGGGAAUCUUGGGCAAUGGGGGAAAGCCUGAUGUAGCCAUGCCGCGUGAAUGAUGAAGGCCUUAGGAUUGUAAAAUUCUUUCAGCGGGGAAGAUAAUGACGGUACCAGCAGAAGAAGCCCCGGCUAACUCCGUG
rnacentral:rRNA from 1 species